rnacentral:tRNA from 1 species
UCCGAUAUAGUGUAACGGUUAACAUAUCGCGCUUUCAUGACUGAAGUGCCGCGAAGCUCCGGGUUCGAUUCCCGGUAUCGGAA